CCUACGGGAGGCAGCAGUGGGGAAUAUUGGACAAUGGUGGAAACCCUGAUCCAGCGACGCCGCGUGAGGGAAGAAGUAUUUCGGUACGUAAAGCUCUAUCAGCCGGGAAGAAAAUGACGGUACCUGACUCAGAAGCCCCGGCUACCUACGUGCCAGCAGCCCCGGUAAUACGGAGGGGGCAAGCGUUAUACGGAUGUACUGGGUGUAAAGGGGGCUUAGACGGCUGCGCAAGUCUGGAGUGAAAUGCCUGGGCCCAACCCCGGAACUGCUGUUGAAACUGGGAGGCUGGAGUGCAGGAGAGGUAUGCGGAAUGCGUGGUGUAGCGGUGAAAUGCGUAGAUAUCGGGAGGAACACCGGCGGCGAAGGCGGCAUGCUGG
rnacentral:rRNA from 1 species